rnacentral:rRNA from 1 species
UACGUAGGUGACCAGCGUUGUCCGGAUUUACUGGGCGUAAAGAGCGCGCAGGCGGUCGUUCAAGUCGAGUGUGAAAGCCCCCCGGCUCAACUGGGGAGGGUCACUCGAUACUGAUCGACUUGAAGGCAGGAGAGGGAAGCGGAAUUCCCGGUGUAGUGGUGAAAUGCGUAGAUAUCGGGAGGAACACCAGUGGCGAAGGGCGGCU